rnacentral:rRNA from 1 species
AAUUGAAGAGUUUGAUCAUGGCUCAGAUUGAACGCUGGCGGCAGGCCUAACACAUGCAAGUCGAACGGUAACAGGAAGCAGCUUGCUGCUUUGCUGACGAGUGGCGGACGGGUGAGUAAUGUCUGGGAAACUGCCUGAUGGAGGGGGAUAACUACUGGAAACGGUGGCUAAUACCGCAUAACGUCGCAAGACCAAAGAGGGGGACCUUCGGGCCUCUUGCCAUCAGAUGUGCCCAGAUGGGAUUAGCUUGUUGGUGAGGUAACGGCUCACCAAGGCGACGAUCCCUAGCUGGUCUGAGAGGAUGACCAGCCACACUGGAACUGAGACACGGUCCAGACUCCUACGGGAGGCAGCAGUGGGGAAUAUUGCACAAUGGGCGCAAGCCUGAUGCAGCCAUGCCGCGUGUAUGAAGAAGGCUUCGGGUUGUAAAGUACUUUCAGCGGGGAGGAAGGUGUUGUGGUUAAUAACCGCAGCAAUUGACGUUACCCGCAGAAGAAGCACCGGCUAACUCCGUGCCAGCAGCCGCGGUAAUACGGAGGGUGCAAGCGUUAAUCGGAAUUACUGGGCGUAAAGCGCACGCAGGCGGUCUGUCAAGUCGGAUGUGAAAGUCCCCGGGCUCAACCUCGGGAACUGCAUUCGAAACUGGCAGGCUUGAGUCUUGUAGAGGGGGUAGAAUUCCAGGUGUAGCG